rnacentral:rRNA from 1 species
GACGAACGCUGGCGGCGUGCUUAACACAUGCAAGUCGAACGGAAAGGCCCUGCUUUUGUGGGGUGCUCGAGUGGCGAACGGGUGAGUAACACGUGAGUAACCUGCCCUUGACUUUGGGAUAACUUCAGGAAACUGGGGCUAAUACCGGAUAGGAGCUCCUGCUGCAUGGUGGGGGUUGGAAAGUUUCGGCGGUUGGGGAUGGACUCGCGGCUUAUCAGCUUGUUGGUGGGGUAGUGGCUUACCAAGGCUUUGACGGGUAGCCGGCCUGAGAGGGUGACCGGCCACAUUGGGACUGAGAUACGACCCAGACUCCUACUGGAGGCAGCAGUGCUGAAUAUUCCACAAUGGGCGGAAGCCUGAUGCAGCAACGCCGCGUGCGAGAUGACGGCCUUCGGGUUGUAAACCGCUUUCGCCUGUGACGAAGCGUGAGUGACGGUAAUGGGUAAAGAAGCACCGGCUAACUACGUG